rnacentral:rRNA from 1 species
GAUGAACGCUGGCGGCGUGCUUAACACAUGCAAGUCGAACGAAGGACCCUUGACGGAGUUUUCGGACAACAGAUAGGAAUCCUUAGUGGCGGACGGGUGAGUAACGCGUGAGUAACCUGCCCUGGAGUGGGGAAUAACACAGUGAAAAUUGUGCUAAUACCGCAUAAUGCAGUUGAGUCGCAUGGCUCUGACUGCCAAAGAUUUAUCGCUCUGGGAUGGACUCGCGUCUGAUUAGCUGGUUGGCGGGGUAACGGCCCACCAAGGCGACGAUCAGUAGCCGGACUGAGAGGUUGGCCGGCCACAUUGGGACUGAGACACGGCCCAG